rnacentral:rRNA from 1 species
UGCGGAAGGAUCAUUCAUAAUCAAGUGUUUUUAUGGCACUUUAAAUCCAUAUCCACCUUGUGUGCAAUGUCAUCUCACUGGGGUUACGUUUGUAAAAUUUCGUGAUCCGUUUGGGAUUUAUAUCUACUCAGAACUUUAGUCAUUUUGUCUGAAACAUAUUAUGAAUAACUUAAUUCAAAAUACAACUUUCAACAACGGAUCUCUUGGCUCUCGCAUCGAUGAAGAACGCAGCGAAAUGCGAUACGUAAUGUGAAUUGCAGAAUUCAGUGAAUCAUCGAAUCUUUGAACGCAUAUUGCGCUCUCUGGUAUUCCGGAGAGCAUGCUUGUUUGAGUAUCAGUAAACACCUCAACUCCCUUUCUUCUUGAAAUGGAGCUGGACUUGAGUGAUCCCAACGCUUUAUUCAUAAAGUGGCGGGUUACUUGAAAUGCAGGUGCAGCUGGACUUUUCUCUGAGCUAUAAGCAUAUCUAUUUAGUCUGCCUCAAAAACAGAUUAUUACCUUUGCUGCAGCUAACAUAAAGGAGAUUAGUUCUUGUGCUGACUGAUGCAGGAUUCACAAAGACCGCUUCGGCUGUCUUUGUAAACUCGAUCUCAAAUCAAGUAAGACUACCCGCUGAACUUAAGCAUAUCAAUAAGCCGGAAGGAAAAGGAUCAUUCAUAAUCAAGUGUUUUUAUGGCACUUUAAAUCCAUAUCCCCUUGGUGUGCAAUGUCAUCUCCUGGGGGUUACGUUUGGUAAAAUUUCGUGAUCGCUUUGGGGAUUUAUAUCUACUCAAAACUUUAGUCAUUUUGUCUGAAACAUAUUAUGAAUAACUUAAUUCAAAAUACAACUUUCAAGAAA